UGGGGAAUUUUGGACAAUGGGGGCAACCCUGAUCCAGCCAUGCCGCGUGAGUGACGAAGGCCUUCGGGUUGUAAAGCUCUUUUGUCAGGGAAGAAACGGUAGUAGCGAAUAACUAUUACUAAUGACGGUACCUGAAGAAUAAGCACCGGCUAACUACGUGCCAGCAGCCGCGGUAAUACGUAGGGUGCAAGCGUUAAUCGGAAUUACUGGGCGUAAAGCGUGCGCAGGCGGUUGUGUAAGUCAGAUGUGAAAUCCCCGGGCUCAACCUGGGAAUUGCAUUUGAGACUGCACGGCUAGAGUGUGUCAGAGGGGGGUAGAAUUCCACGUGUAGCAGUGAAAUGCGUAGAUAUGUGGAGGAAUACCGAUGGCGAAGGCAGCCCCCUGGGAUAACACUGACGCUCAUGCACGAAAGCGUGGGGAGCAAACAGGAUUAGAUACCCAAGUAGUCCCUGAGCGGGCUGGCAAGGCGCAU
rnacentral:rRNA from 1 species